AUGGAUGUCAUUGCCAUCAAGUGCCCAACAAUUGAGGUGGUGGUUGUCGACAUCUCCAAGCCCCACAUUGACGCCUGGAACAAUGACACCCUCCCAAUCUCCGAGCCCGGCCUCGAUGAUGUUGUCAAGGCAUGCAAGGGCAAGAACCUCUUCUUCAAAACCGACAUCGAGAAGCACAUCACCGAGGCCAACAUCAUCUUUGUCUCGACAAACACCCCCACCAAGACCCGCAGUCUGGGAACAGGCAAGGCUGUCGACCUCACCUACUGGGAGAGCGCUGCCCGGAUGAUUGUCGACGUGUCCAACUCUGACAAGAUCGACGUUGAUGAGUCCACUGUCCCUGUCAAGACCGCGAGACCAUUGAGAAGAUCCUGA
rnacentral:rRNA from 1 species